rnacentral:lncRNA from 1 species
CGGAAUACCAAUCCAGUAUUGAACAUAAUCGACAGUAGACUCAAUUUGCGCUUUCAAACCAAUGGUGUCAUGAAAUGUAUCGUUGUGUGUUACAGCUAGACCCAAUCCUAGCACAAUUAUACCCAGAAAGAUGACAAAAGCGCCAAAAAUAAGCAGUAAUAGAAAAGCUAGCCGUCUGGACUUCGUACGAAAUGAAGACCCAGCACCCAUUGUUUAAACUGAGUCUGAAAUUCCUUCGACCAAACCGUUUUCGAUGGUAAAAUUACGAGAUAGUUUUACUCCUCAAUUUAAGGCGACAUCGAAAAGGCGCUGAACGGUUGAUUGAAAA